UACAGAGGGGGCAAGCGUUGUUCGGAAUUACUGGGCGUAGAGGGCGCGUAGGCGGCCUGCUAAGUCGAACGUGAAAUCCCUGGGCUCAACCCAGGAACUGCGUCCGAUACUGGUUGGCUUGAAUCCGGGAGAGGGAUGUGGAAUUCCAGGUGUAGCGGUGAAAUGCGCAGAUAUCAGGAAGAACACCAAUGGCGAAGGCAGCUCUCUGGGACGGUACUGACGCUGAGACGCGAAAGCGUGGGGAGCGAACAGG
rnacentral:rRNA from 1 species